rnacentral:ncRNA from 1 species
UAUCUGUCUGUGAUGAAGAGAGUAGUUUUUUUAGAAGGAAAGCGAGCUGGGGAUGGUGUGAGCCUAGUACGGAAGAAAAAGAUGAAGCGCACUUCGGAGAUGCUUCUUGAACGAAUAGUAGAGAAAGCCGAGGCCCCCUGUCCUCGUUAUAAACGGGAAAGUGGUUCGUAACGAACAACAAGGGUGGUACCACGGGUUAAAACUCGUCUCUUUU